rnacentral:rRNA from 1 species
AGCAGUCGCCGCGGGAAUACGUAGGUGGCAAGCGUUGUCCGGAAUUAUUGGGUGUAAAGCGCGCGCAGGCGGAUCAGUUAGUCUGUCUUAAAAGUUCGGGGCUUAACCCCGUGAGGGGAUGGAAACUGCUGAUCUAGAGCAUCGGAGAGGAAAGUGGAAUUCCUAGUGUAGCGGUGAAAUGCGUAGAUAUUAGGAAGAACACCAGUGGCGAAGGCGACUCUCUGGACGAAAACUGACGCUGAGGCGCGAAAGCCAGGGGAGCGAACGGGAUUAGAUACCCCUGUAGUCCCUGUCUCUUAUACA